AAGCUUUCGCGGUAUGGGAUGGGGUCGCGUCCUAUCAGCUUGACGGCGGGGUAACGGCCCACCGUGGCUUCGACGGGUAGCCGGCCUGAGAGGGCGACCGGCCACAUUGGGACUGAGAUACGGCCCAGACUCCUACGGGAGGCAGCAGUGGGGAAUAUUGCACAAUGGGCGCAAGCCUGAUGCAGCGACGCCGCGUGAGGGAUGGAGGCCUUCGGGUUGUAAACCUCUUUUAUCGGGGAGCAAGCGAGAGUGAGUUUACCCGUUGAAUAAGCACCGGCUAACUACGUGCCAGCAGCCGCGGUAAUACGUAGGGUGCAAGCGUUAUCCGGAAUUAUUGGGCGUAAAGGGCUCGUAGGCGGUUCGUCGCGUCCGGUGUGAAAGUCCAUCGCUUAACGGUGGA
rnacentral:rRNA from 1 species